GUCUUGUUCGCGUUACUUCUGAGUAAAUUUAACUCUCAAAUUGACUUUCAUUCCCGAGGACGAGACGUGCACGUAUGUAUACGUAUAUAC